AGGGCGCACGGUGGAUGCCUUGGCACUAGGAGCCGACGAAGGACGUGACAAACGACGAUAUGCCUUGGGUAGCUGUAAGUAAGCGAUGAUCCAGGGAUUUCCGAAUGGGGGAACCCAACAGGUAAUACCUGUUACCCACAUCUGUUAAGGAUGUGAGGAGGAAGACGCAGUGAACUGAAACAUCUAAGUAGCUGCAGGAAGAGAAAGCAAAAGCGAUUGCCUUAGUAGCGGCGAGCGAAACGGCAGAAGGGCAAACCGAAGAGUUUACUCUUCGGGGUUGUAGGACUGCAAUGUGGACUCAAAGAUUAUAGAAGAAUGAUUUGGGAAGAUCAGCCAAAGAGAGUAAUAGCCUCGUAUUUAAAAUAGUCUUUGUACCUAGCAGUAUCCUGAGUACGGCGGGACACGUGAAAUCCCGUCGGAAUCUGGGAGGACCAUCUCCCAACCCUAAAUACUCCCUAGUGACCGAUAGUGAACCAGUACCGUGAGGGAAAGGUGAAAAGCACCCCGGGAGGGGAGUGAAAUAGAACCUGAAACCGUGUGCCUACAACAAGUUCGAGCCCGUUAAUGGGUGAGAGCGUGCCUUUUGUAGAAUGAACCGGCGAGUUACGUUAUGAUGCGAGGUUAAGUUGAAGAGACGGAGCCGUAGGGAAACCGAGUCUGAAUAGGGCGCCUUAGUAUCAUGACGUAGACCCGAAACCAUGUGACCUACCCAUGAGCAGGUUGAAGGUGCGGUAAGACGCACUGGAGGACCGAACCAGGGCACGUUGAAAAGUGCUUGGAUGACUUGUGGGUAGCGGAGAAAUUCCAAACGAACUUGGAGAUAGCUGGUUCUCUCCGAAAUAGCUUUAGGGCUAGCGUCGACAUUAGAGAUUCUUGGAGGUAGAGCACUGUUUGGGUGAGGGGUCCAUCCCGGAUUACCAAUCUCAGAUAAACUCCGAAUGCCAAUGAAUUAUGGUCGGCAGUCAGACUGCGAGUGCUAAGAUCCGUAGUCGAAAGGGAAACAGCCCAGACCACCAGCUAAGGUCCCAAAAUAAUUGUUAAGUGGAAAAGGAUGUGGGGUUGCACAGACAACUAGGAUGUUAGCUUAGAAGCAGCUAUUCAUUCAAAGAGUGCGUAAUAGCUCACUAGUCGAGUGACCCUGCGCCGAAAAUGUACCGGGGCUAAAACAAUUUACCGAAGCUGUGGAUACCUUUAUAGGUAUGGUAGGAGAGCGUUCUAUGUGUGAUGAAGGUAUACCGUGAGGAGUGCUGGAACGCAUAGAAGUGAGAAUGCCGGUAUGAGUAGCGAAAGACAGGUGAGAAUCCUGUCCACCGUAAGACUAAGGUUUCCAGGGGAAGGCUCGUCCGCCCUGGGUUAGUCGGGACCUAAGGAGAGACCGAAAGGUGUAUCCGAUGGACAACAGGUUGAUAUUCCUGUACUAGAGUAUGUAGUGAUGGAGGGACGCAGUAGGCUAACUAAAGCAGACGAUUGGAAGAGUCUGUCUAAGCAGUGAGGUGUGAAUUGAGUCAAAUGCUUAAUUCUAUAACAUUGAGCUGUGAUGGGGAGCGAAGUUUAGUAGCGAAGUUAGUGACGUCACACUGCCAAGAAAAGCUUCUAGCGUUUAAACAUACUCUACCCGUACCGCAAACCGACACAGGUAGUCGAGGCGAGUAGCCUCAGGUGAGCGAGAGAACUCUCGUUAAGGAACUCGGCAAAAUGACCCCGUAACUUCGGGAGAAGGGGUGCUGACUUAAAGUCAGCCGCAGUGAAUAGGCCCAAGCAACUGUUUAUCAAAAACACAGCUCUCUGCUAAAUCGUAAGAUGAUGUAUAGGGGGUGACGCCUGCCCGGUGCUGGAAGGUUAAGAGGAGUGCUUAGCGUAAGCGAAGGUAUGAAUUGAAGCCCCAGUAAACGGCGGCCGUAACUAUAACGGUCCUAAGGUAGCGAAAUUCCUUGUCGGGUAAGUUCCGACCCGCACGAAAGGCGUAAUGAUUUGGGCACUGUCUCAACGAGAGACUCGGUGAAAUUUUAGUACCUGUGAAGAUGCAGGUUACCCGCGACAGGACGGAAAGACCCCAUGGAGCUUUACUGCAGUUUGAUAUUGAGUGUCUGUACCACAUGUACAGGAUAGGUAGGAGUCUAAGAGAUCGGGACGCCAGUUUCGAAGGAGACGCUGUUGGGAUACUACCCUUGUGUUAUGGCCACUCUAACCCAGAUAGGUGAUCCCUAUCGGAGACAGUGUCUGACGGGCAGUUUGACUGGGGCGGUCGCCUCCUAAAAGGUAACGG
rnacentral:rRNA from 1 species